GUGCUGGCUAAGGAUUGUCUGGCCCAGAAAACAUAUUUAAACUGUGUUUGGUCAGUGCAGUUGUAGCACAUUCUAAUGGCAGUGUGGGGGUGGGAUUCAUGGGCUCUACUAUAAGGUAGCUGCUUCCUUGUAUGGUUCAGAGGACAUCAAUUUGAAAGUGUCUCUGACAUAUCCUAAAAUUGCCAGCCUUAGAUUCUGUCUAUGUCCUCCUUUCAUGGGUAGGGGGUCUUGGCCCUGGGCAGUCACUACAUGGGCAGGACCCAUAUACUCUUCAUUCCUUCUCAUUCCUGAGCUUAGUCCUGGUCAGCUUGUCUUAGUUCCAUGAGUAUCUGAUUAAAAUACCCUGGGCUAGGAUCUUCCUCAGGUGGGAAAAGUCUCCUCUUUAAUUCUUCUGUCCUGUUGUGCCCCACCCCAAGGCAGGUGGAUGUUCAGGCUCUGACCCAGGCUCAGGAGGAUAAAGGUAGGCUCCUGAAGACAACAUUGUUUCCCCUGCCUCUUAGCUCUUACUGGGCUCAUCACUUCCGGAUAGGUUUUCCUGGGCACUAUUGGGAAUCCACAUGGGCCUGGACUUUAGCCUCAUUGUUUUAGCAUCUCCAGGAACUCAUAAAAUACUGGCCCUUGUGCAUGUUCUCGGAGUGCACUUGUUAAUGAAUAAUUGGAUCAGGCUAGCAAACUACUCUUAAAGGGAAUGCCAAGGGAAGGGAGGUUUUGUCUUCCCCAUCUUUGGACUUUAGGUCAUUGCCAUUCAAUGUAUAAGUCCUCCAUGGUUGCUACCUAUAUUUAAUUUAAUUUAACUAAAUGAAAUCAAACAUUUGGAACCUCAAGAGAAUAUUCCAACCUCUUGUGGGCAGUUGCUUUCUGAGCCUGGCCUGGGGUCUGUCCAUUGAACUCAUAAAUCUCAAUGCAUAUGCAGCAAAGUUGAAAAUUCAGGUUUGUAUGUUUGGAAGUUAGAAUCAUAAUGGGUUAGUGGAAGUGAGAAGUUGAAAGAUAAUUUAUUCAGCUCCUCUAUUUCCCUUGAAGGUUUGCAACUGAUUGCAAUGUCUUGAUGAAGGCCUCCAAGUCUGUAGAGCCCAGAGCGCAACUUACCACCCAGAGGAAAGAGCUGUGAGAUGUUAUGUGAGCCUGCAUAUCCUCAACUGGUAUAGGGAGCACCAAGUUCAAAUAACUCAUUGUUUAUAUUUGUGUUUCUAAAGAUUUGCUUGUAGAGAAUAUCAGUGACUCCAUAAUGAAAAGGAAGACUCUCCAGGUAUGUAACAAUACUAUAGGUUGGACCCAAUCAGAGCCAGUAUUUGGGAACAAUUGGUUUACACUUGUUGCUUUGGAGCCAGGGGAAGGGGGCAUGAAAUCACAAACAAUGAAAAAACAAAAAGGAAAAAUAAGAAAAAAAAUAUGAUAUAUUUAUUUUACCAUUUAAUGACAUAGUAGUAAGAAACUUUGUGUUCAUGGGUUUUGUUACACAGCAUUGUGUUUGUGACUACAUUUAUUGUCCUAGUGUCCCAGGAAAUGGAUACCCAUUCCAUAACUUCUCCUACUCCUGUCAGGCCAAACCUCCCAUAGCUGCUUUAACUAGGAGAGGCUGUAAGAACUGGUAGAUCCAACAUGUGCAUGAAUUCUGAGGGUGCUACUCAUUGUGUCAUUUGUGAAAUGCCACCAAGUUGUACAACCUCUCAUUCUCUGGUAACCAGCUAUGCCUGCCCAACCCACUAAAGCCAUCAGGGAGCAUGGCCAGUGAAUCACUAGGUAUGGGGAGACAUUGGAAAGCUGUCCUGACCUUGUGUGGUUCAAGCCUCCUGGAAGAAUGUGGGAUGGAGAGUGGCUCCUGCUCAUGCAGGAAGGACAGCCCUCUUGGUUCAGCUUUGAGUGCUAUAGGCACUUAGCAAGUCGUGGUAUCUGGGAUCACUACAGGACCCAAGAACAGGUGGGAUUUCAUCAUGCCUCUGGGGACCUCAUCUUCUGUGGAGCCUUGUGGGGGCCUGGGUUCACUUCAUGGCACUAUUUCUCUGAGGUUUGAAGGGUUUUGGAUAUAGAGAUGAACGGUAAAAAUUUUUGUACGUUUGUCAAAUUUGAACAAAGCAAGCACCUGAAGCAAUGCAAUGCAUUGCUCAUAUGAGUGAGUUAAAAGAGCCAGAUCAUAAGUUGUUUACCUUGAUUUUAUGUAUUUUCUGAUUUUAUAAUUUAAUAACAAAUAUAAUAAAUUUUAUCACUCUUUAAAAAAGUAUUGUCCUCAGUAACCAUUUUCCCACGGGAACAUUUUGAAAUAAUGAGAUAUAUAUUAAACCACAGCAAAGGAUAUUUAAAAAAAACAAGUUUGAUGAGGGUGUAAAUAAGAAAUUUUACAGUGUUAGGGGAAAAUAAUAAAGAAUUCCAGGAAUUAAUAAAGAAUUCCAUGUGGGUCACGUGAUGUAUCCUGGGAUUUCAUGGAUGUAGGGACAUAGUUUCGCCUUCCCCCUGAGUUAUCAGAUCUCUUGCUCCUCAGGUGGCCCAGGUGUUUGGGACUAGUUUUUUCCAUUCCAGGGUCAUAGAAACUACUCUUUCCUCUGCCUCAAGUUCACUGUCCAUGGGAGCAGCCCCUGAAGGCUGUAUACACAGGUGUAUGCACAGGAGAAUUUCCUCCUGAAGGACAGUUGUAGACAUUGGGCCCACAGACAAUACCCUCAGCAGAGGACAGCAAACAGGUCUCAGUGCUCCCUGACCUGAACCCCUGGGAAGGUCAGAUCCCAGGGUCACGUUUCAGGGCCUGAGAAGCGUUCUAUUCCUGUAUUCCUCCCCCGCAGUGAGACCCUACUUUUUCUCUGUGUCUCCCCGUGACCUUGUACCUGUUUCUGUUUUGCAGAUUCCUGUAUGGACACCUGGGGGCUGGGAGGAUCUGGAGCUUCCUGAGUAAUGGGAAGCACGAAUGAAGCAUUAAGGUCAAAGUACAGGAGCAAUUUCCUGCUUGUUCUCUCCAUAGUUUAAAUUAGAUGCAGUUUAUUUUAACUUGUAUAGUCUAAAUGUUAAUUUUGAAAAUGAGUGCAAUAUUUAAUAUUGAUGUUUUAUGCUAAAUAACAGACACUUGCUACCAAUUGAUUUUAAAGAUUUUUUCCAUAAAAUAAAAAUGUAUCAUAGAAAAACACCUCUGUA
rnacentral:lncRNA from 1 species